rnacentral:rRNA from 1 species
UACGUAGGGGGCAAGCGUUGUCCGGAAUCAUUGGGCGUAAAGCGCGUGUAGGCGGUCCGGUAAGUCCGCUGUGAAAGUCGGGGGCUUAACCCUCGGAUGCCGGUGGAUACUGUCGGGCUUGAGUACGGAAGAGGCGAGUGGAAUUCCUGGUGUAGCGGUGAAAUGCGCAGAUAUCAGGAGGAACACCAAUUGCGAAGGCAGCUCGCUGGGACGGUACUGACGCUGAGGUGCGAAAGCGUGGGGAGCGAACAGG